AGUGAACGCUGGCGGUAGGCCUAACACAUGCAAGUCGAACGGCAGCACAGUAAGAGCUUGCUCUUACGGGUGGCGAGUGGCGGACGGGUGAGGAAUACAUCGGAAUCUACUUUUUCGUGGGGGAUAACGUAGGGAAACUUACGCUAAUACCGCAUACGACCUACGGGUGAAAGCAGGGGAUCUUCGGACCUUACGCGAUUGAAUGAGCCGAUGUCGGAUUAGCUAGUUGGCGGGGUAAAGGCCCACCAAGGCGACGAUCCGUAGCUGGUCUGAGAGGAUGAUCAGCCACACUGGAACUGAGACACGGUCCAGACUCCUACGGGAGGCAGCAGUGGGGAAUAUUGGACAAUGGGCGCAAGCCUGAUCCAGCCAUACCGCGUGGGUGAAGAAGGCCUUCGGGUUGUAAAGCCCUUUUGUUGGGAAAGAAAAGCAGCAGGUUAAUACCCCGCUGUUCUGUCGGUACCCAAAGAAUAAGCACCGGCUAACUUCGUG
rnacentral:rRNA from 1 species